rnacentral:rRNA from 1 species
CAGUCGCCGCGGUAAUACGGAGGGUGCAAGCGUUAUCCGGAUUUACUGGGUUUAAAGGGUGCGUAGGUGGGUCUGUAAGUCAGUGGUGAAAUCUCCGAGCUUAACUCGGAAACUGCCAUUGAUACUAUAGGUCUUGAAUCAUCUGGAGGUGAGCGGAAUAUGUCAUGUAGCGGUGAAAUGCUUAGAUAUGACAUAGAACACCAAUUGCGAAGGCAGCUCACUACGGAUGUAUUGACACUGAGGCACGAAAGCGUGGGGAUCAAACAGGAUUAGAUACCCCAGUAGUCCCUGUCUCUUAUAC